ensembl:lncRNA
GAAAAUUUCAGCCCUGCUUUUACCGAGAGACACUUUUUGUUUUGAUUCUCUGUGCUUUUGCUUUGCCAACCUAGCCAGGUACAAUUUUAUGCCAAGUCCUGAGUAGGGCUAUUGGGGUCCCGCUGUCCAAAAGAGCUCUGGUCACAGCUGACUCCUCUGCUGUGCAGGACGCAUGUGUGUGAUCUUUUGGAAUUUAAACUUCAGACACUUGUUCAUCUACUGUUCCUCCUGCCACCAGAAAGUGCAUCUGCAGUGAAGAUGACCACUUUUCAAGGAGCAUGCAUCUGCUGCAGUAGGGAGGGGGCACCAAGCCCACCCAUAAAGAGGGCAUCCAUGGUUGUCACAGCCAAGGAAGUUCUCCUCGUGCUCUACCCUGCAAAAGAAGGCUUUGACCCUGUUGUUCUGUCACCAUAAUUCAAGGUUAGGUUCCCUUGUCUUCUAUACACUGUAUCACUGAUGAGAGAUGCAAGAUUGAAAAUUAGUCCCUUAGGAAUUGGGGCCAAUAUUGUCCACGGAGGCUUAGCCCAGUGUCCUCAGCCAAGGACUGUAGAUCCUGAUGAAGGAGUCCUUUUGGACAGCUCACUAGCCACCCCUUCAGGAAACACCCAUGCCCUUCACAAGGCACAGGCCAGAAGCAGUGAGUUUCUUUUAUUUCUCCUUUGUCAUAUCUUCCUCUUUCCAAAGCACAGAAAGCAAGUCUCACACCUGGCUGCAAUAGCAGAAAGCAUAUUUUCUUUGCACUAUCGGAGGACUGUGACAGUUGGACCAUAAGGAAAGUUGAGUGCUGAAGAAUUGAUGCUUUUGAACUACGGUAUUGGAUAGGACUCUUUAGAGUUCUUUUAAAUGCAAGGAGAUCAAACCAGUCAAUCCUAAAGGAAAUAAACCCUGAAUAUUCAUUGGAAGGAUUGAUGCUGAAGCUGAAGCCCCAAUACUUUGGCCACCUGAUGCAAAGAACUGACUCACUAUAAAAGACCCUGGGAAAGACUGGAGGCAGGAGAAGAAGGGGACAACAGAGGACCAGAUGGUUGGAUGGCAUCAUUGACUCGAUGGACAUGAGUUUGAGCAAGCUCCGGGAGUUGGUGAUGGACACGGAAGACUGGUAUGCUACAGUUCAUGGGGUCACAAAGAGUUGGACACGACUGAACUG